rnacentral:rRNA from 1 species
GAAGAAAGAGGGAGGCGUGCUUAACACAUGCAAGUCGAACGGAAAGGCCCUGCUUUUGUGGGGUGCUCGAGUGGCGAACGGGUGAGUAACACGUGAGUAACCUGCCCUUGACUUUGGGGUAACUUCAGGAAACUGGGGCUAAUACCGGAUAGGAGCUCCUGCUGCAUGGUGGGGGUUGGAAAGUUUCGGCGGUUGGGGAUGGACUCGCGGCUUAUCAGCUUGUUGGUGGGGUAGUGGCUUACCAAGGCUUUGACGGGUAGCCGGCCUGAGAGGGUGACCGGCCACAUUGGGACUGAGAUACGGCCCAGACUCCUACGGGAGGCAGCAGUGGGGAAUAUUGCACAAUGGGCGGAAGCCUGAUGCAGCAACGCCGCGUGCGGGAUGACGGCCUUCGGGUUGUAAACCGCUUUCGCCUGUGACGAAGCGUGAGUGACGGUAAUGGGUAAAGAAGCACCGGCUAACUACGUG